AUUGAACGCUGGCGGCAGGCUUAACACAUGCAAGUCGAGCGGGGGAGGUUGCUUCGGUAACUGACCUAGCGGCGGACGGGUGAGUAAUACUUAGGAAUCUGCCUAUUAAUGGGGGACAACAUCUCGAAAGGGAUGCUAAUACCGCAUACGCCCUACGGGGGAAAGCAGGGGAUCACUUGUGACCUUGCGUUAAUAGAUGAGCCUAAGUCGGAUUAGCUAGUUGGAGGGGUAAAGGCCUACCAAGGCGACGAUCUGUAGCGGGUCUGAGAGGAUGAUCCGCCACACUGGGACUGAGACACGGCCCAGACUCCUACGGGAGGCAGCAGUGGGGAAUAUUGGACAAUGGGGGGAACCCUGAUCCAGCCAUGCCGCGUGUGUGAAGAAGGCCUUAUGGUUGUAAAGCACUUUAAGCGAGGAGGAGGCUCUUUUGGUUAAUACCCAAGAUGAGUGGACGUUACUCGCAGAAUAAGCACCGGCUAACUCUGUGCCAGCCGCCGCAGUAA
rnacentral:rRNA from 1 species